CGAAGAGAUAUUGAUUUUGAGAUAAAUUUUUAAAUAACAGAAAUGGAAACAAUAUUGAUGUUGUACUUUAGACAAAAGAAGAGAGAGAGCAAUGAAAAAGCUAAAGUUGAACAAGUCAAGGAUUCUGAUGAGAAUGCUAUAGCUUGAUUUCGGUAGCAACAAUCCGUAUAAAGACGAAAUAUAUAGUUAAAGGCUAUAAUAACAAUUUAAGUUAAAUAAAAAAUCAAUCAAUCAACAUUCCCCUUCUUCUGAAAAGCAUUCCCACAAUCAAUCUGAGCUGUCAUAGCAAGCUUGUCGUCCAAAUGAUUUAUCAUUUUGAUUGUCAAGUUGUUGCAUAUGUCGUCUUAAUCGUUGGCUUGUUUAAACUGUAAGCUUCAUAUCUCAAUGGUUAUUAUUAUCAAUUUUUUAAAAUUGUUAUUAUCAUUAUUUGUUAUUAAAUAUAUAUGAAGAUUUUGAAUGAUAGAAUGUAGAUAUUUUUG